rnacentral:rRNA from 1 species
UACGUAGGGUGCGAGCGUUAAUCGGAAUUACUGGGCGUAAAGCGUGCGCAGGCGGUUGAUUAAGUCUGAUGUGAAAGCCCCGGGCUCAACCUGGGAAUGGCAUUGGAAACUGGUCAGCUGGAGUGUGGCAGAGGGGGGUGGAAGUUCCGCGUGUAGCAGUGAAAUGCGUAGAGAUGCGGAGGAACACCGAUGGCGAAGGCAGCCCCCUGGGCCAACACUGACGCUCAGGCACGAAAGCGUGGGGAGCAAACAGG